UCGGGCGGGAGCUUGUGUUACAGGCUGAGAUAAGGGUAAUGACCCUUGACCGUGAACCUGAUUUGGGUAAUGCCAACGUAGGGACAAACAUAUA
rnacentral:ncRNA from 1 species